UACGUAGGUGGCGAGCGUUGUCCGGAUUUACUGGGCGUAAAGAGCGCGCAGGCGGUCGUUCAAGUCGCGUGUGAAAGCCCCCCGGCUCAACUGGGGAGGGUCACGCGAUACUGAUCGACUCGAAGGCAGGAGAGGGUAGUGGAAUUCCCCGGUGUAGUGGUGAAAUGCGCAGAUAUCAGGAGGAACACCAAUGGCGAAGGCAGCUCGCUGGGACGGUACUGACGCUGAGGCGCGAAAGCGUGGGGAGCAAACAGG
rnacentral:rRNA from 1 species